rnacentral:rRNA from 1 species
UACGUAGGGUGCGAGCGUUAAUCGGAAUUACUGGGCGUAAAGCGUGCGCAGGCGGCGCGUUAAGACAGGUGUGAAAGCCCCGAGCUUAACUUGGGGAAUUGCGCUUGUGACUGGCGUGCGUGGAGUGUGGCAGAGGGAGGUGGAAUUCCACGUGUAGCAGUGAAAUGCGUAGAGAUGUGGAGGAACACCGAUGGCGAAGGCAGCCUCCUGGGCCAGCACUGACGCUCAUGCACGAAAGCGUGGGGAGCAAACAGG